rnacentral:rRNA from 1 species
UAUAUCAAUAAGCGGAGGAAAAGAAACUAACAAGGAUUCCCCUAGUAACUGCGAGUGAAGCGGGAAAAGCUCAAAUUUAAAAUCUGGCGGUCUUCGAUCGUCCGAGUUGUAGUCUGGAGAAGCGUCUUCCGCGCUGGACCGUGUACAAGUCUCUUGGAACAGAGCGUCGUAGAGGGUGAGAAUCCCGUCUUUGACACGGACUACCAGUGCUUUGUGAUGCGCUCUCAAAGAGUCGAGUUGUUUGGGAAUGCAGCUCAAAAUGGGUGGUAAAUUCCAUCUAAAGCUAAAUAUUGGCGAGAGACCGAUAGCGAACAAGUACCGUGAGGGAAAGAUGAAAAGCACUUUGGAAAGAGAGUUAAACAGUACGUGAAAUUGCUGAAAGGGAAACGAUUGAAGUCAGUCGCGUCGUCUAGAACUCAACCUUGCCUCGGCUCGGUGCAUUUUCUAGUUGACGGGCCAGCAUCAGUUUCGACCGUUGGAAAAAGGUCCUUGGAAUGUGGCACCUUCGGGUGUGUUAUAGCCUUGGGUCGUAUACGACGGUUGGGACUGAGGACCGCAGCACGCCUUUAUGGCCGGGGUUCGCCCACGUACGUGCUUAGGAUGCUGGCGUAAUGGCUUUAAACGACCCGUCUUGAAACACGGACCAAGGAGUCUAACAUGCCUGCGAGUGUUUGGGUGGUAAACCCGAGCGCGUAACGAAAGUGAAAGUUGGGAUCCCUGUCGUGGGGAGCACCGACGCCCACACCAGACCUUCUGUGACGGAUGUGCGGUUGAGCAUGUAUGUUGGGACCCGAAAGAUGGUGAACUAUGCCUGAAUAGGGUGAAGCCAGAGGAAACUCUGGUGGAGGCUCGUAGCGAUUCUGACGUGCAAAUCGAUCGUCAAAUUUGGGUAUAGGGGCGAAAGACUAAUCGAACCAUCUAGUAGCUGGUUCCUGCCGAUUU